UUUUUUCUGCCAGGGCGGGGGAGGGCGGGGGAGCAAGUGAAACAAGUGAAACACAAGUGUAGAGCACAACGACAUUCCGGUGGCGCAAGGAUGACACGCAAAUUCGUGAAGCGUUCUAUCUCUUAAGUUUUAAUUCAAAGUUUUGGAGUUCUAGCCAACUUCCUUCAUAUAGCUGCCAUUGACCCCCCGCAUGUAAAAUCUUGUGAAAAUUUGACCACGUGUGGAGUCAAAAAAAGUUCACACAGAAAGUGUCUAGGAGCACGUUUUAGGCCAUUUUGAGUCAUUUGCUAAUGGGUUAGGGUUAGGUUAAGGGCAACUUACCACUUUUCAAAAACGUUUUUUUGGACCUAGCUCGGGCAAACAGCGGGGCGUGGGAAUUCCAAGACCACCCUAGGAUAGCUCUAGCCCCAGCAGACUUUUUUAGUCCCGGUGAACCCUCGGCAUAGCCACUAAUGUAGGCUAGGGUGCGAGAAAUUUGAAACUGGCUAAAAGGCGUAAAUACUAGGUCCCGGUGCACCCUCGGCCUAGUCCCUAAUGUGGGCAAUAUUUUUUUAAAUUGGCAAAUUCCUGUGUUCCAUACACCGCACAACCCCAGGAAAUGCUAAAACAAUUACAAAAUAACCUGCACCUCA